rnacentral:rRNA from 1 species
UACGAGUGCCCCAAGCGUUAUCCGGAAUCAUUGGGCGUAAAGGGUGUGUAGGCGGUUUGGUUAGUCUUCUGUGAAAUUCUUCGGCUCAACCGGGGGCUCGCAGGGGAAACGGCCAAACUUGAGGAUGUGAGAGGUGAAUGGAACUCAUGGUGUAGGGGUGAAAUCCGUUGAUAUCAUGGGGAACACCAAAAGCGAAGGCAAUUCACUGGCACAUUCCUGACGCUAAAACACGAAAGCGUGGGUAGCGAAUGGG